rnacentral:rRNA from 1 species
AUUGAACGCUGGCGGCAGGCCUAACACAUGCAAGUCGAGCGAGCGGCGGACGGGUGAGGAAUGUCUGGGAAACUGCCUGAUGGAGGGGGAUAACUACUGGAAACGGUAGCUAAUACCGCAUAACAUCCGAUGUGCCCAGAUGGGAUUAGCUAGUAGGUGGGGUAAUGGCUCACCAGGGCGACGAUCCCUAGCUGGUCUGAGAGGAUGACCAGCCACACUGGAACUGGGACACGGUCCAGACUCCUACGGGAGUCAGCAGUGGGGAAUAUUUCACAAUGGGCGCAAGCCUGAUGCAGCCAUGCCGCGUGGUGGAACAAGGCCUUCGGGUUGUAAAGCACUUUCAGCGGGGAGUCGUUAACCGCAGAAGAAGCACCGGCUAACGCCGGGCCAGCAGCCGCGGUAAUUC